GACUGUACGACUCAGUUCUUUAAGGAAGCCUCUCAUCACUAGACAAGUUUAAUUCCUCAUGAUUUAAUCUAAUGAUUUUGUACGCCGAACCUCUUCCUUCUUUUUUUUUUUUUUUUUAAUUUUUUAACGUUUAUUUCUUUUUCACAGAGACAGAGCAUGAGCAGGGGAGGGGCAGAGAGACAGGGAGACACAGAAUCUGAAGCAGAACUUCUUCCUUCUUAAUGUACUUCACACUUCACUUUCCAGAAACAAUUCCUGAUGGAAACAGAAGAGACAUUGGCCAUGGACACGUGUCUAGUUUAACCUGCGCUUCCGGAGCAAGGUUGACAGCAAUUACUACUCGCAGCCCUUCAGCUUUGUCUCCGGACACGCAGCUCCCUCAUCUAUCUUUCAAAAGCACAGGUCUUAUCAUGUUACACCUCCCACCUCCUGUCUUAAAAAAUGAUGUUAACAAAGAUUCCAGAUUCAAAAAUAUGUGAAAAGAGGCAUGGGAUGUAUCUGCUUUGGAGCUGUCUUUGCAGGCCGGCCCACAGUUUAAUAUUUCUGCUCUGGCAGUUAGAGCCAAGGUUCGCGUACCCUCCCUGUCUCACCGUCCUAAGUGGCCUCUCAUGCCAAUCCAGCCUUUAUACACCCAUAGAAGUAUCUUCUGAACAUGUGAACAUGGGUAGAAGAUCUUCAAAUAUUCUCAAAUUUUUUUUUAUAGAAAAAAGUUCAAAAUCCCUAGCACGAUGUCCAAAUCCUGAUCUGGUUUGGCUUUUUCUUGACUAGGUCUCUUCUCCGAACGUGCUGUCCUUCUCUUGGUGCCCCAGCACUCCACCCAGCCUUAACACACCCUGAGCUCUCCAGACACUGCCUUGUGACUCAAGCUGAUCUCAUUGUCUAAAUGGCCUUUCAAUCCAUAGAUACCCUUCAGGUAUCUGUUCUUAUAACACCUUCCCCAAAGACACCUUCUCAAAUAUUCCUACACGCAAAAUAUCUUUCCUUCUUCUACUUCAUAUAGCAUGUAUAAAUGUCAUGUGCACUUACAAAAUCUAUCACAUGAUGCCUUAUGUUGUUUAAGUAUGUUUCUGUCUUCUCC
rnacentral:lncRNA from 1 species